rnacentral:rRNA from 1 species
AAAAAAAUGAGUUUGAUCCUGGCUCAGAAUGAACGCUGGCGGUAUGCCUAACACAUGCAAGUCGGACGCUGUGCUCUUUUGCUUUAUGCAAUUGCAUUUGGCGCAAAGAAGCACGGGGUGGCGAACGGGUGAGGAACGCGUGAGAAUCUACCAAGCAGACGGGGUCAAUCCCUCCUAGCCUUCUUGAAUCGAGAAGAAAAAAGCUUCAUUCGAAACAUGCUUCAAUCUUGUUCCAAGAGAAAGGCGUAUUUCUUUCGAAUCAGCGCUGCUUGAUGAGCUUGCGUCGGAUUAGGUAGUUGGUAAGGGAAUGGCUUACCAAGCCAACGAUCCGUAGCCGGCCUUUUCGGGUGAUCGGCCACACUGGGACUGAGAUACGGCCUAGACUCCCACGGGAGGCAGCAGUGAGGAAUCUUGGACAAUGGGCGAAAGCCUGAUCCAGCAAUACCGAGUGGGUGAGACGAAGGCUAAUUAGGUCGUAAAGCCCUUUCGUCGAGAAGAGACAAUGACAAGACUCGAAAAAGAAGCCCCGUCUAACUCCGUGCCAGCAGACGCGGUAAUACGGGGGGGGCUAGUGUUAUUCAGAAUAAUUGGGCGUAAAGGGUACGUAGGCGGUCAGAUUGAGCUCAGACCUAAGCCAUAGGCUUAACCUAUGGACGGUCUUGUAGCUGUUCUGUCUUUGAGUUGGAUAGGGAAGAGUGGAAUUUCUAGUGGAGAGAUUAAAUUCAUAGAUAUUAGAAGGAAGGCCGGCGGCGAAGGCAACUCUUUAGAUCCAGACUGACGCUAAGGUACGAAAGCGUGGGGAGCAAACGGGAUUAGAUACCCCAGUAGUCCACGCCGUAAACGAUGAGUGCUCGCCUUUGGUCUUUCGAUCAGAGGCUUAGCAAACGCGAUAAGCACUCCGCCUGGGGAGUACGAUGGCAACAUUGAAACUCAAAGGAAUUGGCGGGGGCCUGCACAAGCGGUGGAACAUGUGGUUUAAUUCGAAACAACGCGCAAAACCUUACCAGCCCUUGACAUAAAGCACAGCGCCCUUUGAGAGGAGAGGCACUAUACAAUGCUUUACAGGUGCUGCAUGGCUGUCGUCAGCUCGUGUCGUGAGAUGUCGGGUUAAGUCCUAUAACGAGCGAAACCCUCGUCCCUAGUUGCAAAGUGCGGCUCGUUUAUUAAGCUGUUCACAGAACUCUAGGGAGACUGCCGGCGAUAUGCCGGAUGAAAGUGGGGAUGACGUCAAGUCCUCAUGGCCUUUAUGGGCUGGGCUACACACGUGUUACAAUGGCAAGCACAGAGGGAAGCAAUGCCGCAAGGCGGAGCGAAUCCUUAAAUCUUGUCCCAGUCCGGAUUGCUCGCUGCAACUCGCGAGCAUGAAGUUGGAAUCGCUAGUAAUCGCGGAUCAGCACGCCGCGGUGAAUAUGUAACCGGGCCUUGCACACACCGCCUGUCACAUCCUGGGAAUUGGUUGUGUCUGAAUAAGGUGAAAACGUCAUUGAUUGAUAAGGCUUGCAAUACUCUUGCUGAGCAAGGCUUACACGCAAAGGCGGCUAGAUCUUACACGGCACGGUCAGUAACUGAGAUGAAGUCAUAACAAGGUGGCCGUAGGGGAACCUGCGGCCGGAAUGACCCUAAA